rnacentral:rRNA from 1 species
GUCCUUUUGAUUUUUAUAUAAGGUCUGACCUGCCCUAUGAAUAUUUAAAUGGCCGCGGUAUACUAACCGUGCAAAGGUAGCAUAGUCAUUUGUCUCUUAAUUGGAGGCUUGAAUGAAGGGUUGGACGAGAUAUAAGCUUUCUUUGUUAUAUUUUAUUGAAUUUGACUUUUGAGUUAAAAGGCUUAAAUUUUUUUAUAGGACGAGAAGACCCUAUAGAAUUUUAUAUAUUUGUAUAAUUGAUUUAUUUAUUUAUUAUUUAAUUUCUUGUUUAAAUAUAUUUUGUUGGGGCGAUGGGAAGAUUUUAAUAACUCUUUUUUGUUUUGAUCAUUGAUUUAUGUUUUAUUCUGAUCCUUUUUUAGAGAUUAUAAGAUUAAAUUACCUUAGGGAUAACAGCGUAAUUCUUUUGGAGAGUUCUUAUUGAUAAAAGAGUUUGCGA